rnacentral:rRNA from 1 species
UACGUAGGUGGCAAGCGUUACUCGGAAUCACUAGGCGUAAAGCGCAGGUAGGAGGUUUAGUAAGUCUGUUGUGAAAGCUCCCGGCUUAACAUGGGAGAGGUCAACGGAAACUGCUAGGCUAGAGUGCGGUAGAGGUAGCUGGAAUUCCCGGUGUAGCGGUGAAAUGCGUAGAUAUCGGGAGGAAUACCUAUGGCGAAAGCAGGCUACUGGACCGUCACUGACUCUGAUCUGCGAAAGCUAGGGAGCAAACAGG